rnacentral:rRNA from 1 species
UACGUAGGGGGCAAGCGUUGUCCGGAUUUAUUGGGCGUAAAGCGCGUGUAGGCGGCCAGGUAGGUCCGUUGUGAAAACUCGAGGCUCAACCUCGAGACGGCGACGGAAACCAUCUGGCUAGAGUCCGGAAGAGGAGAGUGGAAUUCCUGGUGUAGCGGUGAAAUGCGCAGAUAUCAGGAAGAACACCCGUGGCGAAGGCGGCUCUCUGGGACGGUACUGACGCUGAGGAGCGAAAGCGUGGGGAGCGAACAGG